AGUCUUCGAUUAAAAGCGUUAUGAGCACUGAGACGUAUGAAAACAUGCUGUCACUGACUUCCGGGCGUUACCAGACAAACUUCCAGAUCUGCGAGUUGGAUCAGUCUGGCCAUGCUUGCACUUCACGCUACAGCGUUUGAGUUCUGUGAGUCCAUUGCUAGAGCAGUCAUUACCUCACCAGGCUGCUUCGCCACAUCCUUAAUGGAAAAGCUUAUUUAGGGCUCAGAAUGGUGCAAGAUCCCUGCGGUUGAUUCUCUUUAUUUGGAGGAGCACUUUGACCCUUAUGGUCUGAUUACCUGGCUAAAUAUCCUGGCCCUCUUAUGAGCAGUGAGAUGCAGAAGAAGGAGCUGUUUCAGUUUAUCAUGAUGAACUCACAGAAGUGCCUUGAUGAAAUCACUGAGCCUGGUUAAAUAGAGGCCUUUUUCAUCUGGCAGAUUAUGAAAUUGU